UUCACCGGACUUCUAAAUGACACUUCUGCCGGCCCAAUGCACCGUAAACCCGUGCACUCAGUAUAACAGACAUUCAACUGUUAUCCGAAACAUUGUCAAACACAGGGUGAUUACAGUAUUUACAUGAAAAUCCAUGCUAUCAAGUUUGGCUUUUCAGGCACUUGCAUUUAAUCCUGAAGUUGCUCCAGAAAUAUGGGCCCUGCGAAGUGUUUACCUAUAGAUGAGACUGAAGUGUUUACCUAGGGAUGAGACGGAAGUGCUUACCUAGGGACCUCCGUAAGCCUCUACAAAUCCUGCACUACCGACGAAGUUACAUUAUAACAUAAUAAGGACAUAAAUAUCUCUGUGCCAAAAAAUAUAAUUGUGAAAGUAUAGAUUUUAUAUCGGCGUAAAGCAGAUAUUUAUAUAUUUUGUAUACCAACCGCCAGCCAUAAUGGAUGUUCGAGGUCAAAACAGAUAUUUGUAUACCAACCACCAGCCAUAAUGGAUGUUCGAGGUCAAAACAGAUAUUUGUGUACCAACCGCCAGCCAUAAUGAAUGUUCGAGGUCAAAACAGAUAUUUGUAUACCAAACGCCAGCCAUAAUGGAUGUUCGAGGUCAAAACAGAUAUUUGUAUACCAACCACCAGUCAUAAUGGAUGUUCGAGGUCAAAACAGAUAUUUGUAUACCAACCGCCUGCCAUAAUAGAUGUUCGAGGUCAAUAAUCGCAGGAAAAACUUCCAGAACACAGUUCCACACUGACCACAAAAGACAAUAUAUGAAGUAUGAUAUAAGGACGGAUUGAUGCAGAGUUCUACGGUUUCUUCUACCAACAAACCUUUCUGUGUCAUUGAGGUGAAAACUUCUUGAAUACGGCAUGAAACGCUCGUAAAUAAAUAAACAGGGUCUAUUUGUCAUUAA